CGCCGGGCCCAGCUCCGCGGUCCCGAGCCCGCCCAGGCUUCUGUCUGCAGAGGGGCUUCGGAAGCCUGCACCCCUCCUGUGCCUCCCGAGGCCGCAGCGUCGCCUCCUCCGCGGGCCGCUCAUCCGAACCUUUACUGCGCUUCCCUAGCGGGGCCAGAGAACUGAACAUGAAGGGUCGCGCUGAAGGAACUAACGUUCAGGGGCUGGGGAGUUAGCUCAGCGGCACAGCGCCUGCCUGGCAAGCACGAGGGAGUCUCAGGGCAUCAACUGAAGACAGCGGCUCAACCCAGGGGACCUAUUACAUCUUGCAUGUGAAAAGAUCUCUUAACGGUUCCUAAAGCCCACCCGAGCUCUGCAGCACACCCUGGCAGAACUCGGGAAGAAGUCAGAGCCCCGCAUCCCCCGAGGCCCCGCCGAGGCCUGGAGCCGUAGGCCGGGGCUCACACCGCCGCCUUGGAAGCACCAGCCCUGCGCCCCGCAUUUCAGCGAAAUGCUGUCUAGUCAAGUUACUCCUUUCCUGCCUACACCUCAACUUUAUACGUGUAACAGAGAACCUACAGGGUACAGGGCUUUAGGCAGCUAACAAAGUUUCUGGAAAUAGUAGUCAUAACAUUUACCCUCCAGUGGUGUGUGUAUGGGGGGGACCAGCGGAGACCACCAGGCUUGGGCAAAGGCAACAUGGAAUUUAUCGUGGCUGGGUGCAGGCAGAGAGCGCGAUGAGACGGUCUGCCGCGAACAAAGGAAGCGUGUCCGUUUUGUAGGGAUGGAGAGAAGGCAGGGACACUAGGCGGGAAGAUUCUAAUAAACAUCUGUGGUCAGAG